AGUGAACGCUGGCGGUAGGCCUAACACAUGCAAGUCGAACGGCAGCACAGUAAGAGCUUGCUCUUACGGGUGGCGAGUGGCGGACGGGUGAGGAAUACAUCGGAGUCUACUUUUUCGUGGGGGAUAACGUAGGGACACUUACGCUAAUACCGCAUACGACCUACGGGUGAAAGCAGGGGAUCUUCGGACCUUGCGCGAUUGAAUGAGCCGAUGUCGGAUUAGCUAGUUGGCGGGGUAAAGGCCCACCAAGGCGACGAUCCGUAGCUGGUCUGAGAGGAUGAUCAGCCACACUGGAACUGAGACACGGUCCAGACUCCUACGGGAGGCAGCAGUGGGGAAUAUUGGACAAUGGGCGAAAGCCUGAUCCAGCCAUACCGCGUGUGUGAAGAAGGCCUUCGGGUUGUAAAGCCCUUUUGUUGGGAAAGAAAAGCAGCAGGUUAAUACCCCGCUGUUCUGACGGUACCCAAAGAAUAAGCACCGGCUAACUUCGUG
rnacentral:rRNA from 1 species